AGAUGGGUCCAGAUAGUCCUGGAGAUUUCCACCUACUGAAAUGUUUCCAUACUUAAUUUCUACUCAGAGAACCUGAAGUCACUUCUAACAGUAUCUCUCAAGACCGAUACAGUUGAGCUCCAUCUGCCCUUCUAACAUCGGCGGCCUGGCAACAGUGUCUUGCUAAGCUGGGAAACAUGGUAUGGUGAGAAGGUCUCUAACUUCGGUCAAGACUCAGUUCUGCCACUCUCCACAAUGACUCUGGGCAAGGUGCUUCAGAGCACUAUCCCAGCAUGGCCUUGUCCUGGACUGCAUGGGGUUCAUUCUUCAUCCUCAAUGGUCAGGAGCCACUUCCAACAGGUGCCCAGGGAGGACAAAGGAUCCAGUUUUUAUUGAAGCAGGUCUGCCCAGCCUCUGCCUGCCUGCAGGAACUUAGAGACACACUAGCACUCUAUGGACGAGCAAAGACCAAAGUCAGGAGCAGAUCUUCAUCAAAUGGUGAGGAUUCCAUCUCAUCAGCCAGAGCAGUCAUCAACGAAGCCAAGGACAGCUCUCACAAGUUGUCCUUGAACCUCCACACACGGGCAUAUAUAUGACUAAAUUUAAUUUGUUAAAGCCAAAUUUUUUUAAAAAUUAAAAAAAAAACAAGCAAAA
rnacentral:lncRNA from 1 species